rnacentral:snRNA from 1 species
UUGAGCCGUCACACGGAAUC